UACGAAGGGGGCUAGCGUUGCUCGGAAUCACUGGGCGUAAAGGGUGCGUAGGCGGGUUCUUAAGUCAGAGGUGAAAUCCUGGAGCUCAACUCCAGAACUGCCUUUGAUACUGAGAGUCUUGAGUUCGGGAGAGGUGAGUGGAACUGCGAGUGUAGAGGUGAAAUUCGUAGAUAUUCGCAAGAACACCCGUGGCGAAGGCGGCUCUCUGGGACGGUACUGACGCUGAGACGCGAAAGCGUGGGGAGCGAACAGG
rnacentral:rRNA from 1 species